rnacentral:lncRNA from 10 species
AGCGAUGUCACCAUUUCUACCUGCCACGCAUCGGUGAAGGUUGGGACUCGACUGGUGUUUGAUCACGAUGGGAAAAUCAUCCAGAAAACCCCCUACCCCCACCCCAGAGGGACCACAGUCAGCGUGAAGCAGUUAUUUUCUACACUACCUGUGCGCCAUAAGGAAUUUCAAAGGAAUGUUAAGAAGACGUGCCUGCUUCCCCUUCGCCUUCUGCCGUGAUUGUCAGUUUCCUGAGGCCUCCCCAGCCAUGCUUCCUGUACAGCCUGCAGAACUGUGAGUCAAUUAAACCUCCCCCCACCCCUGCUCCCAGGAGGACAACGUGAUCACUGUAUUCAGCUCCAUCAAGAAUGGUCCAGGUUCUUCUA